rnacentral:rRNA from 1 species
GAUCCUGGCUCAGGAUGAACGCUAGCUACAGGCUUAACACAUGCAAGUCGAGGGGCAGCAUGAACUUAGCUUGCUAAGUUUGAUGGCGACCGGCGCACGGGUGAGUAACACGUAUCCAACCUUCCGUUUACUCAGGGAUAGCCUUUCGAAAGAAAGAUUAAUACCUGAUAGUAUGGUGAGAUUGCAUGAUAACACCAUUAAAGAUUUAUUGGUAAACGAUGGGGACGCGUUCCAUUAGGUAGUAGGCGGGGUAACGGCCCACCUAGCCUGCGAUGGAUAGGGGUUCUGAGAGGAAGGUCCCCCACAUUGGAACUGAGACACGGUCCAAACUCCUACGGGAGGCAGCAGUGAGGAAUAUUGGUCAAUGGACGAGAGUCUGAACCAGCCAAGUAGCGUGCAGGAUGACGGCCCUAUGGGUUGUAAACUGCUUUUAUAAGGGAAUAAAGUGAGUCUCGUGAGACUUUUUGCAUGUACCUUAUGAAUAAGGACCGGCUAAUCCGUG